GACGAGACGGUCACGCCCCUGCGUGGCCCCGCCCUGACCACGCCCCCUGGUGGACCUAGGGUCCCCACCGUCUUUGCUACCCGCGGCUGUUCAGUCCUCUCUCUGCACUACGGAGUGUCCCCGAGUCCCGUUUGGGGGACGGGACAGGGGUGGAAUCGAGCGCCUGUCCCGCCUCCCUAACCUUUGGCCUCUGGUCUGCGGGUUCAGGAGAGGCCGAGAGGCGGCGUCCGGGAGGGGCCGGCCUGGCAGGAAGUUCGGCCAGGGUGGCCCGGGAAAGGGAAGAAGCCACGUCGCCCCAGGCACUCAGGGGCCCCGCUGGGCCGCCCCGGAGGCCUACGUCCCCUCCACCCCUGUUCCUGAGCAGCUGCCACCCAAUCCCGCGCCUGCAUGGGGCACAGAGCCUAGCCCGGGCAGUGACCUGGUUUCCACUCUGGUGCCCUCCGCCACCUCCCUGGACGCCCUCUGCCUCAGUUUCCCCUCCUGUGCGGUGGACGGCGGGAAGGGGGCUGGCUUCUCCCGGCCCUCCCUCCCAUAGAGUUUUAAUAAACCUGGGUGCUUGUUCUACAAAGAAAAACCUUGCAAAGAACGGAGACUCCAGCUUGUGGACUCCAAAGAUGUCUGAGGAAGUGGGGAGCAGCUGUCUCUGGGCCCUCGCUGAGUUCGAUCACCUGGCUGUGUCUGUAAUCAGUGAGUAUGUGGCCGGGAGGGUUCGUGGCAGAGGCAUCGCCCCUGGCCAGCGGUCCUUGCCCUGACCCGGGAGCUCACAGCCGGAGGAAAUGGCAGAGCUCCCAAGGUGCAGGAGCAGUAAGGGGCCAAGGAAGUGCCCGGGGUGAGGAAAGCUCCGAGUUUUGUGAGAUCCGGGCUUGCAGGAUCUCUGCAUCCUGAGAGUCGGUGGAAGGGCCGGGGACGCGGGAUGGUUAGGUCCAUUCAUUCAUCUCCAGGCUCCCACGCUUGACUGCUCCAGACACACACACUGCGGAUCCUGCUCAUCCCAGCAGGAUGACUCAAAGGCAGGUUCUAAUGGGGCGCCUGACCCUCUUUAUCUUUGCAGGCUCCAGGAAGCCAGGAGCAACUUGAGUGUCCUGUCCUACAGUGGCCCGCCUACCACGGUGACUCACCACUAACCAAGUCUAUUUAGAGGCAAGGGUUUAGGGUUUGGGGAGUUGCAUUAGUCAGCUUCGUGUUACUAUAACAAAUACCUGAGAUCAUCUGUCUGCAGGCCCGCAGUCUUGGAGGUUCUAGUCUAGUUGAGCCUGUGAUUGGUCCAAAUUCAAGCCUGCUGAUUGGUCUAAAUUUGAGCCUGCUGAUUGGCCCAAAUUGGUCAGAAACACAAGCCUUUUAAUAUGAGCCUGCCAACUGGUCCACAUUUAACUCUGCCCCUGUUUCAAAUUCAAGGCGGUCCCACUCCCACCCUCCAACAGUCAGAGUGGUCCACCCCCAGAAAGGGGCGGGCCUCCAGGACAGCCAACUGCAGCAGUCAGUAGGCAUAGCCCCACCCGGGCCUUAGAGGUAAAGGGAAGAGGCCCUCCACUCGGAUCUGUCUCAGGAAGAGGGUUUGAGGGCCGGCCUUUGCAGAACCAGGACUCCAGGGACCUCAACCUUGGACUUCCAGAACUGUGAGAGACCCACACUUCGGGUUAGGUUUCCCAAACACCCUUCACAGCCUUAAGGCUGCUUUCUUUUCCGCGAUAAUUUUUUGAAAUGCACAUUCAGUGCUCACAGCACAACUCAGUUCGGACUCACUGCCACUCACGAAGCGGAUGUGUGUUGGAUGCUGUUACCCAUCAUCUUGAAUCACAAGCUCUAGUGUCCCUUGGGAGGUCGGGAGGCCUGGUAACCUUUGGUUGCUAGGCCUCGUCCCGGGGUUCCUACAGCAGUGACUCCAGCGUUGGCUGGGAGGCUGCGUUCCUGACCAAGGUGCAGGAGAAGCUACUGCUGGUCCGAGGACCACACUUCAAGAACCACAGGCCUAGACCUCUGCAACGAGCAGGAAACAUGCUUUUUCCUCCACCUGCAGCCCCUGGAAACCGCUUCUUACUAUGAUGCUGCAGUGUAAGGACAAGGAAGUGUUAGUGUAGAGAUCCACACCCGGAUGGAUGGAAUAAAAUGGAAAAUCCAGAAAUAAACC
ensembl:lincRNA